GACGAACGCUGGCGGCGUGCUUAACACAUGCAAGUCGAACGGAAAGGCCCUGCUUUUGUGGGGUGCUCGAGUGGCGAACGGGUGAGUAACACGUGAGUAACCUGCCCUGGACUUUGGGAUAACUUCAGGAAACUGGGGCUAAUACCGUAUAGGAGCUCCUGCUGCAUGGUGGGGGUUGGAAAGUUUCGGCGGUUGGGGAUGGACUCGCGGCUUAUCAGCUUGUUGGUGGGGUAGUGGCUUACCAAGGCUUUGACGGGUAGCCGGCCUGAGAGGGUGACCGGCCACAUUGGGACUGAGAUACGGCCCAGAAUCCUACGGGAGGCAGCAGUGGGGAAUAUUGCACAAUGGGCGGAAGCCUGAUGCAGCAACGCCGCGUGCGGGAUGACGGCCUUCGGGUUGUAAACCGCUUUCGCCUGUGACGAAGCGUGAGUGACGGUAAUGGGUAAAGAAGCACCGGCUAACUACGUG
rnacentral:rRNA from 1 species